rnacentral:rRNA from 1 species
UAGGGAAUCUUCGGCAAUGGACGAAAGUCUGACCGAGCAACGCCGCGUGAGUGAAGAAGGUUUUCGGAUCGUAAAACUCUGUUGUUAGAGAAGAACGUUGCAUAGAGUGGAAAAUUAUGCAAGUGACGGUAUCUAACCAGAAAGGGACGGCUAACUACGUGCCAGCAGCCGCGGUAAUACGUAGGUCCCGAGCGUUGUCCGGAUUUAUUGGGCGUAAAGCGAGCGCAGGUGGUUUAAUAAGUCUGAUGUAAAAGGCAGUGGCUCAACCAUUGUGUGCAUUGGAAACUGUUAGACUUGAGUGCAGUAGAGGAGAGUGGAAUUCCAUGUGUAGCGGUGAAAUGCGUAGAUAUAUGGAGGAACACCGGUGGCGAAAGCGGCUCUCUGGACUGUCACUGACACUGAGGCUCGAAAGCGUGGGUAGCAAACAGGAUUAGAUACCCUGGUAGUCCACGCCGUAAACGAUGAGUGCUAGUUGU